rnacentral:lncRNA from 1 species
UUGGUUUGAAGUAGACAAAGGUAUGUUUCCAACACCAACUGAACUAUGCAUAAAGUAGGUGAAUUUCUUGCUUUUUUUUCAUGAUUUUGGCAUGUUUAUUUGUAAUUUGUUCAGUAAUUUAUUGUAAUUUUGAGAAAUUUAAUAAUUUUCUUAAGGGACGUGAAAUUUCAAAUGUGAUAAAUAUUAUGGAACAGAGAUAAUACUAUAUUAGCAUUAACUAUAUCUUGAUAUAAACAAAAUUAACAUAUGAACCUUUAAUUUAAAAAAAAAAAAAAUUUCAUUCAUUCCAAAAAAAUAGUUCAUCUUUUUUUUUUUAGUUUGUUUCAAAAUAUAGUUUACUUUUCUUUUUGGAUUAUAGUUAAUCCUUAAAUUGUCUAUUAUACCCUUAUUAAAGUUUAUCUUAUUUUCACUAACUCUCAUUAAUUCUUAUUGUUAUUCCAAUAUAAUCAUUUCUCAUGUGUCAUUUAAGAUGGGCAUAAUAAGAAAGUUAUAUGAAUAAAAUUGUUUUUUAACUAUAAUAACUAUUAUUUCUGAAUUUAUGUGAAAAUAAAAAGUGGACUAUAUUUUUGGGACGGAGAGAGUAUUAACCUUUAAUCUUCCAAUAAAAUUUUAUUUAAUAAUAUUUGAUUAAUUUCAAGAGCAAUUUAAUAUGGAUCAUGGAUAUUAACAUAAGGAUACAUUAGAAAAAAACGAAUAAAAAAUUAUAAUUUAACUAAAAUAACUAAAUUUUCUUAAUUUGUGUAUUAAGUCAAACUAGCACAAAAUGUAUGGUAGAGAGGGAGUAUAGUUUUUUAUUACUGGCUUUUAUAAAACCUAGAUCCCCAUUCCAUAGAAAUGGGUAGAAAACUGGUUACAAAUGCAAAUACAAAGAUUUCUACUUUUUUUUUUUUUCUAUUUUUUUAACCCAAGAAUAUACCCAUAUAUUAUUUUUAUAUAUACGGUGCUAAUCUCAUCUCAAUAUUCAUGAGUUGCCUUCCCCCACAAACUAAGAAUAUUCCUAUCUUAGUAUAACUAUGUCGUGCACAAUUUUAAUAAUAAGAACAAAAAAAAAAAUAAUAAUAAUAAUAAUAAAUAAAAAGUUUAAAAAGCAUAUAGGUCAUCAAGGAUAUGCUUGAAGCAUAUGCUUGGAAUGAUCUUCUGAUUCCUCUCCCCACAAAGCUUUUAUUAUUCCUUUAAAGUCCAGCAAUCCCUCUUUCACUCGAUCUCUUUGCAAAAGCAGAAGAAAUCAUCUAUGGCCUCAUAGAUAUUGUCCUACUGUAUUUCCCACAUGAAGUUACUGCGGUGUGAUGGCCAAAAAUAGUCAAAGCAGUGAAAUCAACGGUGAUGAUCAUGAGAGUGAUGAAGAUCAUGUUCAUGAAAAUGAAUCAUGACCCUUGAAGUUGUAUCAGUUGGGCAACUAAGGAUCCUUUGGCAGUCACAGGUAGACUUGCUUAGUAGAAUGAGAUGUUCAUGAAAGAGGGUUUAUUAUUUUCUUUUUUCCAUUUUGUUCUUUUUUUUUUUCAGGUCUUUGAACACUCAUGAGCUCUUUAUGAAUUAACACAGCUUGUUGUUGUUGUUGUUGUUCUUCUUCUUCUUGUAAUGUGUGUAUUUUAGUUGUUUGGCAUUUAAGUUGAAAUUGUUUUUUUUUUUUUUUUUUUUUUUUUGAGUAUUGUUGAAAAAAGAAAAAACAAUGGAUCAUUUAAAAGGCUACCCACCCUAUUAGAUCCUUCACAUAAAAAUAAGGUUAAGAAGCAAUUUUAUCCAUCACCAUGUCGUAGGAGAAGUCAAAGAGACAAGGGCUAAUGGCUCAUCCAGUGGCCUACAAGAACACAACUCUACUAGUAUAUAGUUAAACUUUCAAUAUAAUAACAUAAUCGUG